rnacentral:tRNA from 1 species
GGCCCCGUGGUGUAGUGGUCAACACGCCGCCCUGUCAAGGCGGAGAUCGCCAGUUCGAACCUGGUCGGGGUCGCCA